UUUAUUGAGAGUUUGAUCCUGGCUCAGGAUGAACGCUGGCGGCAUGCCUAAGACAUGCAAGUCGAACGAGAUGGCCCAGUGAAGGUUGCGUGCUUGCACAAGACUGAAUCUGGAUCACCAUCUAGUGGCAGACGGGUGAGUAACACGUGGGUGACCUACCUUUUCGUUGGGGAUAACAGUUGGAAACGAUUGCUAAUACCGAAUAAAAUAUAAGAGCCAAUUUUAUAUUGAAAGGAGCCUUUAAAGCUUCGCGAUUAGAUGGGCCUGCGGCGUAUUAACUUGUUGGUGAGGUAACGGCUCACCAAGGUAACGAUGCGUAGCCGAACUGAGAGGUUGAUCGGCCACACUGGGACUGAGACACGGCCCA
rnacentral:ncRNA from 1 species